GAGAAAAAGAGAAGAGAGAAAGAGAAGUGUGAGUGAGAGAGAGAGAGAGAUAUAUGAGUGAGAGAGAGAGAGAGAGAAAGGUGACGUGGGGAACACUGUAAUUGAG